AAGAAAUUAGUUAAUAGGUAUAAUAAAAACUUGUCAAGUUUUAGUUGCUAAUUUACUAGCAUUUCUUU
rnacentral:tRNA from 1 species